GAUGAACGCUGGCGGCGUGCCUAAUACAUGCAAGUCGAGCGAACGGACGAGAAGCUUGCUUCUCUGAUGUUAGCGGCGGACGGGUGAGUAACACGUGGAUAACCUACCUAUAAGACUGGGAUAACUUCGGGAAACCGGAGCUAAUACCGGAUAAUAUUUUGAACCGCAUUGUUCAAAAGUGAAAGACGGUCUUGCUGUCACUUAUAGCUGGAUCCGCGCUGCAUUAGCUAGUUGGUAAGGUAACGGCUUACCAAGGCAACGAUGCAUAGCCGACCUGAGAGGGGGAUCGGCCACACUGGAACUGAGACACGGUCCAGACUCCUACGGGAGGCAGCAGUAGGGAACCUUCCGCAAUGGGCGAAAGCCUGACGGAGCAACGCCGCGUGAGUGAUGAAGGUCUUCGGAUCGUAAAACUCUGUUAUUAGGGAGGAACAUAUGUGUAAGUAACUGUGCACAGCUUGACGGUACCUAAUCAGAAAGCCACGGCUAACUACGUG
rnacentral:rRNA from 1 species